rnacentral:rRNA from 1 species
UGGGGGUUAUUGCACAAUGGGCGAAAGCCUGAUGCAGCGACGCCGCGUGGGGGAUGACGGCCUUCUGGUUGUAAACUUCUUUUGCUCUGAACAAGGCAUGCCAAUGGGUGUGCUGAGUGUAGGGGUUGAUUAGCGCCGGCUAACUACGUCCCAGCAGCCGCGGUAAUACGUAGGGCGCGAGCGUUGUCCGGAAUUAUUGGGCGUAAAGGGCUAGUAGGUGGCUGGUUGCGUCUGUCGUGAAAGCUCAUGGCUUAACUGUGGGUUUGCGGGGGGUACGGGCUGGCUUGAGAGCAGUAGGGGGGGCUGGAAUUACUGGUGUAGCGGUGGAAUGCGUAGAUAUCAGGAAGAAUGCCGGUGGCGAAGGCGGGUCUCUGGGCUGUUACUGACACUGAGGAGCGAAAGCAUGGGGAGCGAACAGG